UGUUGCAUAUUAACGUGUGUCUGUGAUUUCAUGCAGAGUCCAGCUAUGUGUAGCUAGUAUCAGAAGCUCUCUGUCUGCACUGUAUGCAACAGAUAAUAUAAACAAAGCAGUCACCUGUCAGCUGACCAGACCAGGACCCCAGUAGAACUGUGCAAGUACCUGCUCUCCCCUGACAGUUAUUGUUUUUGGACUGUUCUGCAGAAAUAGUGUUCAGACCAGGUUUUCUGCACGCUUACAGCGUCUGAAGGACCAUCAUGAAAAAUGCUUAUCCAAGUACACGGAGUGGGAGACUAACCAAACACAGGUUAUUCGGAGAUGUUCAUAUCCUGGUGGAAACCGUAUAAUUGUAUAAUUCCUCAUGCACUGUCCAGUCUGUGGUAUCCUCAAGACUGCCACACCAAAGAAGGGUGAAUACCACACCACAGGAGACAUCAUCUGAGUUAAUCCCACCCUCCAACAGCUUGCCCUUAGGAAGACCUCAUAAAGAGGAGGAGGCCUCAUCAGGACCAUCUCCUGAGGUCCUGGCACCUUGCAAUAGUUUGGAAGCAUGCAGUUUUGACCCAAACGUUCCACCACUGGAAAGAACUGACAGCAUAUUUGACCCCAAAUAUAUGGCUGGACAUGGCAAGAUGAAUCCUCUGCUACAGAGAGCUCAAAGAGGAGGAGUUGGACACCUGCAGAAGUGUGUGCAGAGGAAAAGACUCUAAAGGUGUUCAUAGACGGUGGGAAAGUUCCCAGGAAAGCAGACUGUGUGGCUUGCAUCAAGGCCUCACCACAAGAGCUGAAGUCAAGAACCUGGAAGGCUGUUAAGUACUAUGUUAAGAACCGAAUAACAGCAGUUCAGCGUGAAGGAGCAACACGGUACUAAAGAUUUUCUCAGGCUUUUGUU